rnacentral:rRNA from 1 species
UACUACGGAGAGUUUGAUCCUGGCUCAGGAUGAACGCUAGCGGCAGACUUAAUACAUGUGAGUCGAGGGGCAGCGGAUCCCUCCGGGGAUGCCGGCGACCGGCGAACGGGUGAGUAACACGUAUGGAACCUACCCUUAACUGGGGAAUAGCCUUGAGAAAUCGAGGGUAAUACCCCAUACCAUCUGAAAAGAGGCAUCUCUUUCAGAUGAAAGCUCCGGCGGUUAAGGAUGGCCAUGCGGUCCAUUAGCUUGUUGGUGAGAUAACCGCUCACCAAGGCUACGAUGGAUAGCUGAUCUGAGAGGAUGAUCAGCCACAUUGGCACUGAGACACGGGCCAAACUCCUACGGGAGGCAGCAGUAGGGAAUCUUGGUCAAUUGGCGAAAGCCAGAACCAGUCAUGCCGCGUGCAGGAUGAAGGCCCUACGGGUCGUAAACUGCUUUUAUUCGGGAAGAAAAAGUCUGUUUCCACAGACCUUGACGGUA